rnacentral:rRNA from 1 species
CUGGUUGAUCCUGCCAGUAGUCAUAUGCUUGUCUUAAAGAUUAAGCCAUGCAUGUCUAAGUAUAAAUAGUGUACAUUGAAACUGCGAAUGGCUCAUUAAAACAGUUAUAGUUUAUUUGAUGAUGGACUACAUGGAUAACCGUAGUAAUUCUAGAGCUAAUACAUGCUGUAAGCCUGACUUUUAGGGAAGGUUGUAUUUAUUAGAUCCCAAACCAAUAGCUUCGGCUAUUGUGACGAAUCAUAAUAACUGGUCGGAUCGGGUAAUACUCGAUGGAUCAUUCAAGUUUCUGCCCUAUCAGCUUUCGAUGGUAGUGUAUUGGACUACCAUGGCGAUAACGGGUAACGGGGAAUUAGGGUUCGAUUCCGGAGAGGGAGCCUGAGAAACGGCUACCACUUCUAAGGAAGGCAGCAGGCGCGUAAAUUACCCAAUCCUGAUUCAGGGAGGUAGUGACAAGAAAUAACAACCCGGGGACUUUGUCUUUCGGGAUUGCAAUGAGGACAAUCUGAUAGACCUUACCGAGGAACAAUUGGAGGGCAAGUCUGGUAAUCACUAGUGAAUU